GAUGAACGCUGGCGGCGUGCUUAACACAUGCAAGUCGAACGGUGAAGGCGGAGCUUGCUCUGCUGGAUCAGUGGCGAACGGGUGAGUAACACGUGAGCAAUCUGCCCCUGACUCUGGGAUAAGCGCUGGAAACGGUGUCUAAUACUGGAUACGAGCUGCGAAGGCAUCUUCAGCAGCUGGAAAGAAUUUCGGUCAGGGAUGAGCUCGCGGCCUAUCAGCUUGUUGGUGAGGUAAUGGCUCACCAAGGCGUCGACGGGUAGCCGGCCUGAGAGGGUGACCGGCCACACUGGGACUGAGACACGGCCCAGACUCCUACGGGAGGCAGCAGUGGGGAAUAUUGCACAAUGGGCGAAAGCCUGAUGCAGCAACGCCGCGUGAGGGACGACGGCCUUCGGGUUGUAAACCUCUUUUAGCAGGGAAGAAGCGAAAGUGACGGUACCUGCAGAAAAAGCGCCGGCUAACUACGUG
rnacentral:rRNA from 1 species